rnacentral:pre_miRNA from 1 species
AGCUGCAUUACAGGGCAAGAUCUCCAUUGGCAGGCAGCCACUUAUAAAACUAAUAUGCUUUCUUCGUUUUAGUUUGCUCUCUGCCAAAGGAGAUUUGCUCGGCAAUUCUUGU